rnacentral:rRNA from 1 species
CAAAAUCUCAACUUUAUUAGAAGAGACGCAUUUAUUAGAUAAAAAGCCAAUGCAUGCUUUUACAGUAUGGAAAUUGGUGAUUUAUAAUAACUUGGCAAAUCGCAAAGUGAAAACAGGCGAUAAAUCAUUCAAGUUUCUGACCUAUCAGCUUUCGACGGUAUGGUAUUGGCUUACUGUGGCAGUGACGGUUAACGGGGGAUUAGGGUUCGAUUCCGGAGAGGGAGCCUGAGAAACGGCUACCACAUCUAAGGAAGGCAGCAGGCGCGCAAAUUACCCAAUUCUAACAGUUUGAGAGAGGUAGUAACAAGAAAUAACAAUACAAGGCAAUUAAAAUGUUUUGUAAUUGGAAUGAUAGAAAUUUAAACCCUUUUUAAAGUAUCAAUUGGAGGGCAAGUCUGGUGCCAGCAGCCGCGGUAAUUCCAGCUCCAAUAGCGUAUAUUAAAAUUGUUGCAGUUAAAAAGCUCGUAGUUGAAGUUCUGCUAAAAGUAACCGGUCUGCUUUUAAUAAAAGUGGUAUCUUGGUGUGUAUUUAGCAAUGAUGUCCUUUGAAGUGUUUUUUACUUUAUUGUAAUAAAGCAUAUUCAGGACUUUUACUUUGAGAAAAUUAGAGUGUUUCUAGCAGGCCGACGCUUUGAAUACUGCAGCAUGGAAAUAAUAAGGA